GCCACGACCACAGCACCGGCAACCCGGCCUGCGACGUCUGGAGAUUCCCUCCAUCAACGCUAGGCGCGCCACCGAAUAGACAGAUUGAUUUCAACACUAUUGUAGGAAACCUUCACUCCAUUCAUUGACAAUGUUUUGAUCUCAAUCUGAUGUGUACAUGAUCGUGCUAAUUUAGAAUCUUUAUUUUAACUAAACUCCCUAUCAAAAGUAGGAUUUAUAUAUAAUGAAUUGAUUAGUCAGUGCCUAAUAGUCGUCUCCUGAAUUACAGAUAAAAUUCCGACUAGUAAAUGCUGUAGAAGUACCCUAAAUUAAUCGCUAUUUUCAUUCGUAACUUGGUAGGUUAGAUCUUUACUAUGACAAGUGAAUUAUACAAAGUAAUGUUUCUGAUUUCUACAGGUUGGAUUUGAUGCCUAAAAUUGUCAUUAUUUCUCUAAAUUAGAACUAUACACUAUUAUACUACGACAGAUAUCGAUGAAAAUUGGAUUGUUCCUUGUGAAUUUGGCAUAAAAAAUGCACUAUUAAAUCUUGAAGCAUUUCAAAAUAAAGUUGCUAUCAAGAAUAGUGCCAAGUUUGUUUGACGCAACAAACUUCAAGAUUUAAUAUCGAUAUGGAUGCCCAGCACCAAACAGCCACCCCGCCACCACGACCUGGAUACAGUUGCGUUGCCUGUAAGCGCCCGGAUUCGGCCGAUAAUAUCGUAGCCUGCGAUACAUGCAGUCUUUGGUGGCAUUACACAUGCGCCGGUGUCACCGAUUCGGUAAGAGACCAGGAGUGGACAUGUAGGAGAUGCCUACCAGCUCCCACGGUACCACAGUCGGUACGAUCCACUACGUCGAGUCGCAGAGCCAUCCUCCAAAUGAAACGGCUGGCUGAGCAGCAAGAACUAGAGAGAAAGCAGCUGGAAUUGGAGAGGAAACAGUUGGAACUUCAGAAGAAGCACUCGCAGGAGAAAUUCGAUCUGGAAGAGACGUUAGCGGAAGAGGAAGACAAUCGUAGUGUCAGAAGCCGCGUGAUCGAGAUUGAGUCUCGAGAGAAGCAGGUAUCCACAUGGAUUGAUCAGCAUACCCCCGCAACCAACCAACCGGUCGUCCCAGCUUCGCAUGUAGCAGCGCUUACUGAGCUUCCACAGCCGAUGCAGCCGCUGAUCAACAAUCUACCGGAUGAGGAACAAGGAGCUGUAGGAGGAUAUGAUUGUUUGAGACAGCCAGACCCCCAGAAAGCUACCACGCCCACCGAUGAAGUGACGAUCGAGCGAGCUGUGCAAUCAGGUUUUCAACGACUGCAGCAGCAGCUGGCACAGUGCCAACAACAGCCAGAACCGACACUUGCACAGAUUCAAGAUCUGGAGGCACAAUUGCAGAGAUUUCGGAUUCAACUACAGCAGCGAAACCAGUCAACUCCUCUCAAGCUACCUGUGCCAAGCACGAGUAAAGGUGCGAUUCCCAAAGCGCAAUGUAUAACGCAGACGAACAGGACGCGAGAAUCAGUUGAGAAGCAGACAGAUCCUCUUGUAGAUCAGCACGGCAGAGACACUGUUCCUCUAGCUAAAUCGGUUCCGAUGGCAGCUCCAUUAGAGCAAUCGCGACAGGUAAUAUUCUCGAAUCGUUCUGCCAGCAAUCUGAUUUCAAACGAGCAACCGCGUUCCCAUCAAGCGCGAUCGGAUCUUCUUCCACAUGAAACAGAUUCAUACGAGCAGCCGCGUACGCUUCACGCGCCCUCGAACAUUCUUCCUCCAGGAUCGGAUCCAUUCAGACAGCAGCACUCGGCGCAGUUCAACUAUUACGAUGCUCCAGGCAAUUCGAGCUCACUUGCGCAGCCGCAGGUCUAUUCUGCACCGUCGAGUUUCCCAGCUGUAUUACCGACCGCCGUUCUACGUCGACCAUCCCAAGAACAACUCGCUGCAAGACAGGUGAUGCCACGCGAUCUGCCCGAGUUCUCAGGUGACCCAGAAGAAUGGCCGAUAUUCUUUAGCAGUUUCACUAACUCCACGGCCGCUUGUGGGUUCAGUAAUGUGGAGAAUCUCGCCCGCCUGCAACGCUGCCUGAAAGGUAGCGCCUUGAAGUCAGUGCGAUACUAUCUCCUAUCACCUGACUCCGUUCCGGAUGUGAUGGACACACUACGAACGUUGUAUGGACGCCCGGAGGUUAUUAUCAACAGGCUUAUUCGAACCGUGCGCGAGACGCCAAAUCCCAAGUCCGAGAGAUUGGACUCCCUAAUUGACUUCGGAAUGUCCGUCAGAAACCUGACCCAACAUCUGGUUGCAGCCGGCCAGCAAGCGCACCUGGCGAACCCGGCGCUGCUUCAAGAAUUAGUUGAAAAACUACCAGCCAACGUGAAACUGCAGUGGGCGCAGCAUUUGUCAUUUCGCCCUGAUGCAAGUUUGCGGAAUUUUAGCGAUUUUAUGUCAACAAUAGUUGAGUCGGUUAGCAAAGUGGUUAUUUUUUCCGGCGGACAGCAGGACAAGUCGCGAAGCAAAGACAAAAGUUUCGUCCAUGCACACGCUGAGCAACCAACAUCGGGUAACGCAGUGAAAGACAAAACGGAGCAGGAUAAAGUUUGUCUAUUCUGCGGAAAAGCUGGUCAUCGGAUGAAAGAUUGCACUAAGUUCCAAAAACUCGCAGUGGACGAUCGAUGGAAAAAUGUGCAGAUGCUGAAGGUUUGCAGAACUUGUCUUAAUCUACACGGGCGACGCACGUGCCGCAUUUCAAGUCGAUGUGGGAUAGACGGUUGCCAAUUCCGUCACCAUCAACUGCUACACCAGAAGAGCGAAGAAAUCAACAAGAAGACGCCGGAAGUCAGGAGGACAGAAGAUCAUGCACACCACCAUCAUGAGCAGUCCAUUCUGUUCCGCAUCAUUCCCAUAAAAAUCCAUGGGACUACAAAAUCCGUCAAUGCGUUUGCCUUUUUGGACGAAGGCUCUUCCGCAACGCUCGUCGAGCGCAGCUUAGUUGAAGAACUUGGGAUUGAAGGUCCAAACGUCCCGCUCUGUCUCAAGUGGACAGCAAAUAUGACAAGAAACGAAGAAGAAUCGCAGGUAGUAUCAUUGGAGGUAUCUGGAGUUGAUCAGAAGAAUCGGCUCCACCUAGUGAACGUCCGCACCGUAGAAAGUUUGAACCUACCAACUCAAACGCUCCGCUUCGAUGAACUUCAAAAGGACCACCCUCAUCUGAAAGGCCUUCCAAUCCAUAACUACGAGAACGCUACUCCUAAGCUCCUUGUAGGCCUUCGAAAUUUGCAGUUUGCAGUACCGCUGAAAGUCAAACAAGGACGAAGCGGUGUCAUAGCGACCAAAACGCGUUUGGGAUGGUGCGUAUACGGCAGUCUGGACGAGGUGCAAAACAACGCGGAGUUCAGCUACCACGUGUGUGAAUGUGAAGCCGAAGAGAAGCUGGAGCAACUAGUUAAAGAAUACUUCAAUGCUGAAGACUGUGGAGUACGCCAUCAGGAUAUCCUGGAGUCCGAUGCCGAAACGCGAGCACGGAAGAUCAUGGAAGCGACGACAAGCAGGAUAGGAAACCGUUUUGAAACCGGGCUUGUGUGGAAGACAGACAUCGUGGAGUUUCCUGACAGCUUUCCGAUGGCGUUACGCCGUCUGCAGUGCCUCGAGAGGCGCAUGGAUAAAGACCCACUUCUAAAAGAGAACAUCCACCGUCCAGUGCAGGAAUACCAACAAAAGGGCUUUGCACACCUAGCAACAGAAGACGAGCUUGCCGAGGUAGAUCCCAGGCGGAUCUGGUAUCUUCCGUUAGGAGCAGUCUACAACCCCAAAAAACCGGGGAAGGUACGAUUAAUCUGGGACGCAGCGGCAAAAGUAGACGGAAUCUCGUUGAACUCCCUUCUGCUACCCGGCCCGGACCUUCUUGUAUCGUUGGUAUCGGUGCAGUUUCUUUUUCGUCAAUAUCCAGUCGCCGUCAGUGGAGACAUCAAAGAGAUGUUCCACCAGACGAGAGUUAUCGAACGUGACCGACCUUCUCAAAGCUUCCUGUUCCGCAGCAACCCGUUACAAAAGCCAGACGUCUAUAUAAUGGACGUGUUAACCUUCGGAGCAACCAGCUCUCCAACGUCAGCUCAAUUCGUUAAGAACCGAAAUGCACAGGAGUUUGCCGACGAGUUCCCGAGAGCUGCUGAUGCCAUAAUCAAACGGCAUUACGUCGACGAUUAUCUCGACAGUUUUGAGACAAUCGACGAGGCGAAGACGGUUUCUGGCGAAGUUAAAUGGAUCCAUGCACAAGGAGGCUUCGAGAUCCGAAAUUGGUCGUCCAACCAAAAGGCAGUACUGGAUCACUUGGGAGAAGCUCCGAAACAGGAAACGAUAGAUUUGUCCUUGCAGUCGAAAACGGAGCGUGUGCUGGGAAUGCUGUGGUGCACAAGAGAGGACGUGCUAUGCUUCUCUACAGUCUUCAAGGACGAAAUCGCGACGCUGAUUGAAACGGGAACGAAACCGACUAAACGCCAGGUACUCAAAUGUAUCAUGAGUCUGUUUGACCCGUUAGGCCUACUAGCGUGCGUCCUAGUACACGGGAAGGUAAUAAUGCAGAGCAUAUGGCGUAGCGGCAUCAAAUGGGAUGAGUGUAUCGACGAAAACGUCUACCAAGAAUGGACGAAAUGGAUUGGCUUGUUGGACGACGUUAGCACUGUAAAAAUACCUAGGUGCUACUUCCACAAUGCGAGUUUGGAUCUGUACCGUUCGUUGGAAGCACACGUUUUUGUCGACGCAAGUGAAGCUGCAUACGCAGCUGUAGUUUACUUCCGUAUUGUCAACCAAAACGGAACUGGAACAUGCGCUUUAGUGUCUGCGAAAACAAAGGUGGCCCCACUAAGGUACGUCUCCAUACCAAGGUUGGAGUUGAUGGCGGCUGUCCUAGGGGUUAGAUUGUUCUCAUUCGUGCGCGACAACCAUUCCGUCAAAAUCAAUCGAGCAAUCUACUGGUCUGACUCUGAAGUUACCCUAGCUUGGAUCCGCUCGGAACAUCGGAAGUACCGCCCGUUUGUAGCCUGUCGUGUUGGUGAAAUACUGUCGUCGACCAACGUGAACGAUUGGAGACAUGUUCCCAGCAAGAUGAACGUUUCAGACGAAGCAACUAAGUGGACUGACGGGCUGUCUCUUGGAGCGUCAAGCCGCUGGUUCAAUGGCCCAGCAUAUCUGCAACUGCCGGAAAAUGAGUGGCCCAAAUCGAAACGAUCUAUUGCGACUACUGAUGAAGAGUUGAGAGCGUGUCAUCUACAUCAAGAAUCCGACGUUCUGUGCUCUCCCAUAGACUACAGCCGAUUUUCCAACUGGAAUCGGCUGCUACGUACAACGGCGUAUGUGAUCCGUUUCGGAACGCCUCGUAGUCGGAACACCUCGGGAAAAAGAAUUUAUCACUUGUUAACACAUGAAGAAUUGAAGGUAGCUGAGAUUCUGCUGUGGAAAUUAAUACAAUCAGAAGCAUAUCCGGAUGAGAUUGCGAUUCUCUCGAAAAACCGGACUCUACCGAUGGACAAACAACUAGUUCUGGAUAAAUCAAGUCCACUUUGGAGUCUGUCACCUAUGCUUGACGAAAAUGGGAUUCUUCGCAUCGAUAGCCGCAUUACAGCAGCCCAAGGAGUAGCAGAAGACCUAAAGUUUCCAAUUAUAUUACCUAGGAAGCAUUCGGUUACCAUCCUCAUCGUCAACGAUUAUCAUCGGAAGUUCCUGCACGGGAAUUCUGAAACGGUGGCCAACGAAAUACGGCAACGAUUUUAUGUUGCUCAUCUGCGCACCGUAGUUAAAGGACUGGAGAAGAGAUGUCAAUGGUGCAGAGUAUAUAAGGCCAAGCCUUCGACGCCAAGAAUGAGCCCUCUUCCGGAAGCACGUUUAUCGCCUGGUGUACGCCCGUUCACCAACAUCGGAGUCGAUUAUUUCGGGCCAAUCCUGGUGAAAGUGAAUCGAUCCGUAGCUAAACGCUGGGUGUGCUUGAUUACGUGCCUCACAAUCCGCGCUGUGCAUGUAGAGGUUGCAUAUGACCUUUCGACGAAGUCUUGUAUUGCCUGUCUACGCCGCUUUGUCUGUCGCAGGGGAGCACCGAAGGAAAUUUAUUCCGACAAUGGACGGAACUUCACCGGAGCAAAUCGCGUGCUGAGGGAUCAAAUCCACCAAAUCGAACGAGAAACAGCUACGACCUUUAUCAGCACGGAGACGAAGUGGUUCUUCAUUCCGCCAUCGUGUCCUCAUAUGGGUGGGUCAUGGGAGCGAAUGGUUCGUUCCAUCAAAACAGCCAUGACCAGCCUUCCACAAGAUGAGAAACUCAACGACGAGGGAUUGUUGACGGUACUAGCGGAGGCCGAAGCUAUCGUUAACUCCCGACCACUUACCUACCUACCGUUACACUCGGCUGAACAAGAAGCACUCACACCCAACCAUUUCAUUAUGGGAAGUUCAGGCGGAGUUACACAACCGAUCAUGACAAAAAAGGACUACGUGAGUGACAUCUACGCAUCUUGGGACCUGAUUCAACGACGGACUAAUCAUUUCUGGAAACGGUGGGUCCUGGAAUACCUGCCUACACUUACUAAGCGUACAAAGUGGUUUGGAGAAGUGAAGCCGCUCAAAAUUGGAGACCUUGUUGUAGUAAUCGAUGAAACCAGAAGGAAUGGCUGGAUACGCGGACGUGUUGUAGAAGUAGCUACAGGCAGAGAUGGCAGAAUUAGGCAGGCGAUGAUUCAGACAUCUGGUGGACUGUUCCGGCGGCCUGUCUCCAAAUUGGCUGUACUGGACGUGGCAGGACGCAGUGAGGCUGCUGGACCCAUGCAUCCUCACGGGGAGGGGGAUGUUGCCACGACCACAGCACCGGCAACCCGGCCUGCGACGUCUGGAGAUUCCCUCCAUCAACGCUAGGCGCGCCACCGAAUAGACAGAUUGAUUUCAACACUAUUGUAGGAAACCUUCACUCCAUUCAUUGACAAUGUUUUGAUCUCAAUCUGAUGUGUACAUGAUCGUGCUAAUUUAGAAUCUUUAUUUUAACUAAACUCCCUAUCAAAAGUAGGAUUUAUAUAUAAUGAAUUGAUUAGUCAGUGCCUAAUAGUCGUCUCCUGAAUUACAGAUAAAAUUCCGACUAGUAAAUGCUGUAGAAGUACCCUAAAUUAAUCGCUAUUUUCAUUCGUAACUUGGUUGAAUUUGAUGCCUAAAAUUGUCAUUAUUUCUCUAAAUUAGAACUAUACACUAUUAUACUACGCAGACAGAUAUCGAUGAAAAUUGGAUUGUUCCUUGUGAAUUUGGCAUAAAAAAUGCACUAUUAAAUGUAAGUAGUACAAUAACAUGCUAUCAGAAAAUGGUAAUAAUGAUAGAACCUGUUCCAGCUUGAAGCAUUUCAAAAUAAAGUUGCUAUCAAGAAUAGUGCCAAGUUUGUUUGAC